UACGUAGGGUGCGAGCGUUAAUCGGAAUUACUGGGCGUAAAGUGUGCGCAGGCGGCAGGGCAAGUCGGGUGUGAAAGCCCCGGGCUUAACUUGGGAAUUGCGCUCGAAACUACUGUGCUGGAGUGUGGCAGAGGAAGGUGGAAUUCCACGUGUAGCGGUGAAAUGCGUAGAGAUGUGGAGGAACACCGAUGGCGAAGGCAGCCUUCUGGGCCAGCACUGACGCUCAUGCACGAAAGCGUGGGGAGCAAACAGG
rnacentral:rRNA from 1 species